GACGAACGCUGGCGGCGUGCCUAAUACAUGCAAGUUGAGCGAUGAAGAUUGGUGCUUGCACCAAUUUGAAGAGCAGCGAACGGGUGAGUAACGCGUGGUGAAUCUGCCUUUGAGCGGGGGACAACAUUUGGAAACGAAUGCUAAUACCGCAUAACAACUUUAAACAUAAGUUUUAAGUUUGAAAGAUGCAAUUGCAUCACUCAAAGAUGAUCCCGCGUUGUAUUAGCUAGGUGGUGAGGUAAAGGCUCACCAAGGCGAUGAUACAUAGCCGACCUGAGAGGGUGAUCGGCCACAUUGGGACUGAGACACGGCCCAAACUCCUACGGGAGGCAGCAGUAGGGAAUCUUCGGCAAUGGACGAAAGUCUGACCGAGCAACGCCGCGUGAGUGCAGAAGGUUUUCGGAUCGUAAAACUCUGUUGGUAGAGAAGAACGUUGGUGAGAGUGGAAAGCUCAUCAAGUGACGGUAACUACCCAGAAAGGGACGGCUAACUACGUG
rnacentral:rRNA from 1 species